rnacentral:rRNA from 1 species
GUAGCCCGCUGUUGGUACCUGGUAUCAGCGGCCGCGUCGACGCAUUAAGCGCCCCGCCUCGGGGAGUACGGCCGCAAGGCUAAAACUCAAAGGAAUUGACGGGGCCCGCACAAGCGGCGGAGCAUGCGGAUUAAUUCGAUGCAACGCGAAGAACCUUACCAAGGCUUGACAUAUACCGGAAACUUCCAGAGAUGGUUGCCCCCUUUGGGUCGGUAUACAGGUGGUGCAUGGUUGUCGUCAGCUCGUGUCGUGAGAUGUUGGGUUAAGUCCCGCAACGAGCGCAACCCUCGUUCUAUGUUGCCAGCACGUAAUGGUGGGGACUCAUGGAAGACUGCCGGGGUCAACUCGGAGGAAGGUGGGGAUGACGUCAAAUCAUCAUGCCCCUUAUGUCUUGGGCUUCACGCAUGCUACAAUGGCCGGUACAAAGGGCUGCGAUGCCGUAAGGUGGAGCGAAUCCCAAAAAAACCGGUCUCAGUUCGGAUUGGGGUCUGCAACUCGACCCCAUGAAGUCGGAGUCGCUAGUAAUCGCAGGUCGACGCGGCCG